rnacentral:rRNA from 1 species
GAUGAACGCUGGCGGCGUGCCUAACACAUGCAAGUCGAACGGGAGGGCGGACGGGUGAGUAACACGCGGGCAACCUGGGUCAUAGAGGGGGAUAACAGAGAGAAAUUUCUGCUAAUACCGCAUACGAUGAGAUGGACCCGGGUUGGAUUAGCCAGUUGGCAGGGUAAGAGCCUACCAAAGCGACGAUCAGUAGCCGACAUGAGAGGAUUGACGGCCACAUUGAGACUGAGACACGGCCCAAAAUCUUACGGGAGGCAGCAGUGGGGGAUAUUGCACAGUGGGGGGAACCCUGAUGCAGCGACGCCGCGUGAGUGAAGAAGUAUUUCGGUAUGUAAAGCUCUAUCAUCAGGGAAGCGGUACCUGAAUAAGAAGCCCCGGCUAACUACGUGCCAGCAGCCGCGGUAAUAC